AAACCGUGGUCGCGCAUUAAUAAUGUUAAUAGUCACUUGUUUGUUUUCUCUUUCAGCCGUUUGUCUGCAGUUACGCCAUAUUGCAGUGUGUUUUAAUAUAUUACUGACCGUGAAAUAACGUACAGUUUGUGUUUCAGGAUUUUGUGUUAAUAUUGUGUAUUUUAACUUUGUUAUAUUAUUUAUUAUCUACUAUUGUAAUGAUGGAAUUUGUUAUCGUUUUGAUAUUUUGUGUGGUUCUUGUGAUUGCUGUAAUGGUAAUUGGUUCCGGGAUGGGGAAAGUUACUUCUUCGCAGCGUCAGAUGGACAUCAUUAACGUCGCUCAGAACUUAUAUGUUUUAAUUAGGAAAGGCGACUUGAAGAAAUGUGACGUUACGCAGACGACCGCGUUUCUUCUCAACAUCGCAAAGUCAACUGUUCUCAAGUACUACAAGAAAGACAUUGAAGAAGUUUCAACACCAGGAAAAAAGAGGAAAAAAAGGCCACAGGAAGGAAAGUCACUUGACACAGUCGACGAUUUCACAGUAAAUGCAAUCAGGAAUGCAAUUUACAGGAUGUACGCUGAAGGUUUGAAUGUUACAGUCGACACCAUUUUGAAAGAAAUCAGGGAAAGACAAAUAGAUUAUUAUGGUGGAAGAUCAAGUCUUCAUAAAUUGUUAAAGAAGAUGGGAUUUUCAUGGACAACUGUUGAUGGACGAAAAGCUUUGAUAGAGAAUGAAAACAUAGUAUUGCAGCGAAUAGAUUUCUUGAGAAAGCAUAAAGAAGAAAAAGAAAGAGGUGCCAAUUUCAUAUUUGUUGAUGAAACAUGGAUUUUCCAGAGAGGCAAGGCAUUAAUUUAUUUGAAAAUUUGUUCUGUGGUCCAAUACAAAGUAUUUCAUUUCCAUUUCAUAUAUUUUUCAGGAACUGUAUCAAAGUCAUGGCAGGACAAGAGUCUACAAUCUGCGAAGAGACGUACUGUUGGAGAUGGUAAAAGGUUUAUUGUUGUUAAUGCUGGAGGGCGCACUGGCUUUGUGCCAGGAGCAGGAUUACUUUUUGUUUCAGGUCAGAAGACUGCAGACUACCAUGGCGAGAUGAAUGGGGAAACUUUCUUGAUGUGGUUUGAAGACAUGUUGGUGCAUCUUGAGGAACCCAGUGUCAUCAUAAUGGACAAUGCUUCAUAUCACAGCACCCAGGUUGAGAAAACACCUACAACGAACUGGACCAAGGAUGCACUGAUCGCGUGGCUGGAGAAGAAUGAGAUAAAACAUGAAAAUAAUUUGUUGAAAGUGGAGCUGCUGAGAAUAGCUAAACAAAACAAGCCCCGAAUACGGUAUAUUAUUUCGUUUUUUUUACAGCAUUUCUUUAAAAGUGAGAUAGUUGCAAAAAAUUACGUAUACGCCUUGUUCUAACACACUUUUCAGAUAUGAGGUAGACGAGUUGGCUCGUAACUAUGGCCACGAAAUUCUACGACUCCCACCCUAUCACUGCCACUAUAAUGCAAUCGAACUAGUUUGGGCUCAAUGUAAACACCAUUACAAUAGUAACGUGGGGCGGGCCAAGAGAUUUGACAAUGAUGCAGUUGCAGCCAUCUGGAAAGAGGCUCUUGAUGCUUCCACACCAGAGAGAUGGGCGAGGUGUGUGGAUCACGUGGAGAAGCUAAUUCAAGCAGACUGGGAGAGAGAAGUCCACAUAGACAGCGGCACCAUUCCUCCACUCAUCAUCCACCUCGGCAAGGAUAGUUCAAGUGAAGACAGUGACAGCGAAGAAUUUGAGGUUACGACACAGCAAGUAGAUGGAGACAGUGAAGUACUGGCAGUUCCUCUUGAUGAUUUACCCGGGUGUUCUUAUUGAGGUCUGUAUGUAAUAAACACCUGGGCAACUGUAAGUAUUGGGGUUUGAAACAUUUUUUUUUCUUUUAUGCAUUCCCAUUAAGUAUGUUGA